rnacentral:ncRNA from 2 species
CCAAUAGCGUAUAUUAAAGUUGUUGCAGUUAAAAAGCUCGUAGUUGAAUUUCGGGGUUAGUAGGUUGGUCAUGCCUCUGGUAUGUACUGGUCUCACUGAUUCCUCCUUCCUGAUGAACCGUAAUGCCAUUAAUUUGGUGUUGCGGGGAAUUUGGACUGUUACUUUGAAAAAAUUAGAGUGUUUAAAGCAAGCUAACGCUUGAAUACAUUAGCAUGGAAUAAUGAAAUAGGACGUUCGAUCCUAUUUUGUUGGUUUCUAGGAUUGACGUAAUGAUUAAUAGGGAUAGUUGGGGGCAUUAGUAUUCAAUUGUCAGAGGUGAAAUUCUUGGAUUUAUUGAAGACUAACUACUGCGAAAGCAUUUGCCAAGGAUGUUUUCAUUAAUCAAGAACGAAAGUUAGGGGAUCGAAGACGAUCAGAUACCGUCGUAGUCUUAACCAUAAACUAUGCCGACUAGGGAUCGGAUGAUGUUAAUUUUUUAAUGACUCAUUCGGCGCCUUACG